rnacentral:lncRNA from 1 species
AAAGACUUUCCUAAACCAAUAGAAACAGAGGGAAUUUGUUUCUAGCUGACUUGCCUUAUGAGAAAUGUUUAAGGAAGUGCUUCAGGCAGAAGAAAUGUGAUAGAGUCAGAAAUUUGAACCUAGAAACAAAAGGAAGAGAGUCAGAAAUGGAAGAAAUGAAGGGCAACCACUAAGAUUAAUAAAGGAAACCUCAACUAAAGUUGGAGUCAUGAAGGCCUGUAGAGGGAGCCCUCAUGCCCUACUACCUAUCAUCAAUUAUCCCAACAGCAGGAUGUCAGUUACUGACCCCAACAGGAGGAUGUCAGUUACUGACCCCAACAGGAGGAGGUCAGUUAUUGACCCCAACAGGAGGAUGUCAGUUUUUGACCCCAACAGGAAGAUAUGAGUUACUGACUCCAAAAGGAAGAGGUCACUUACUGACCCUAACAGGAAGAGGUCCCCAAUAGGAAGAGACCUACCUUGCACUCCCCAACAGGAAGUGCAACUACUUUGCUGCUCCAGCAGGAGGAAGGAUGACUUCCUUCUUGCUCAGCAACAAGCUCAGCCAAUGAGAAGCCAUCAUCACCUGAGCAUUUACUUUCCCUCAAUGAACUUUCAUCUCUUCCUUGCUGAUGACUUCCUUUCCUUGUCUCACCCUCCGUACUAUAAAAACCUUUCAGGUGGUGUAACCCCUCAGAACAUCUCUCGGCUUGCCAGAUGAGAUGCUGCCCAAUUCAAGAAUCAGUUAACAGAACCAAUUAAAUCUUCAAAUUUACUCAGUUGAAUUUUGUUUCUUAACAUCUUACAUAUGAAGCAGUAUCAUAUUUGUUGGUGGACUCAGAUUAUUUUAACGUAUAUCGUGAGCUCUAGGGCAACUACCCAAAAAGGUUUUUUAAAAAAGAUUUAAUAGUAAGACAAUAGAAGAGAUAAAAUGGAAUAAUAAAAAAUGCUGAAUUAACCUGAAGAAGGCAGAAAAAGAAGGAAAAUAAAAAAAGAACAAAUGUGGCAAAUAUAAAACGGCUAGCAAGAUAACAGUUCUAAACACAUCAGUUAAAGACAGAUUGUCAGAAUGGAAGAAGCAGCGAUACACAACUAUAUGCUGUCUGUAAGGAGCCUGCGUGUACCCUUCUUGUCCCAUAAGAGGCUCCAUAUUUUCCUCCACCUGUCCCACAGGGGACACAUACAGCAGUGGGGGUGGCCAGGUGCCAUAUGACACACCUGCUUUAAUAGAACAAGGAGCAUUGGCUGCGUCUGAAACAGGGAAAGACAAGGUGACAAGUCCAGCACAGGCUGUGUGGCCCCUCAUCUCUCAGGGAGGAAGUGCUCCAGGCCCAUGGCCCACCCUCACGUGCCCGAGGAGGAGUCUGAAGUCAUCCUCUCCCAACAGCAUGUCCUCAGACCAUAGCGGAAUUAGACUUGAAAUCAAUAACGUGAAGAUACCCGACCUAGCUGGAAAUCGAACAACCGACCUCUAAACAACCCGUGCAUCCAAGAGGGAGUCUCAAUGGGAAAUGUAAAAAUAUUCUGAACUAAGGGAAAAUGAAAAUGCAUCGUAUCAGAAUCUGUGGGACACACCUAGGGAGCGCUGCUGGGACCUUCACAGCACUGACGCACGUGUCAGCAGAGAAAGACUCUGAUCGAUACGUAAACUUCUCCCCCAGGAAAACCAGGGAAAGAAGAGCUUUUGAUUAAAGCAAAUGCAAGCAGGAGGAGGGAAAUAAUGACUCGAGUAGAAACCGACGGAGUUGAAGACAGAAAAGUAGACAAUAUCAAUGAAGCCAAAGGCUGGUUCCAUGAACAAUCUGCACAGCUAGUGGACAUGUCGCCAGACUGACUGAGAGAAACGGAGAGAAGACACCAUGACCAGGCCCAGAAAUGAAAGCACGCCGUUGACGCUGAUCCACAGACAAUAGAAGGAGAGUAAGGAGACACUAUGAACAACUCUGUGCCCCUUAGAAAUCAGAUGAUGCUGCUCAGUGUCAGUGUGUUGUUGUCUUUCUUUGAAGAGUGUUGACGUUUGUCUCGGCAGCAGGUAAAUCUUGCAAACCAUUUGGACUUUUUACAGCUUGUUUUCUCGUCCUUGAUAGGGGACGUCUAGAGCUGCCUUCACCUCUGGGAUAAUCAGCCCUACUAAGGGAGGGUGACCCGGGCCUACCCUGGGUGCCCAGAACAGUCACCAUGUCUCCACGCUUGCUGGUCAGUCUCAAAUGGCUCUCAGUCCUGGUCGAGUCUGGCUCUUCAACUGACAACCUCACAGUCCUGCCCGGGUCCGCGUGUCUGUGGAGUCUCCCUCAUGGCAGGCACGGUCUACGCUCAGGAAGGACUCUGUGGCCCACUGUGUGUCCCUGCGGGUUCCCUUUUCCUGAAGCUGCUGCUUCUCUGGGACUCCUCCUUGCCACCACCACCGCCUGAUCCCCCUGAACUGAGUUCUCUCCCCAGAACUCGGGGCCAUCGGGCCCUUUCGAGGUUCCCUCCGGCACCCACAGCUCUCUGGCUCCAGGAAGACAGCUGGGGUGACACAGGGCUGCGCUCCAGUCCCCCUGCACUGCCUGUGGCCAUGACGGAGCUGUUUAGGGUGGGAGCUUUUGUCCCCUCAUUGUUACUCCAUUGUGACCAGAAGCAGAAGUCCAGUGGCUUCUUUUGAGGACCGAAAACCAUGAGUCUUCACUCUCUCUAAAUGGCUUUCUCCCUCAAUCCCUUUCACCUUAAAAGUUUGCAUUUCUAGAUUCUACAGGGAGUUUGAAACAUUACAAAUCUACUCAUCACGUCCACAUGACGGUUUGUGAAUUCUUUGAGCUUAAAAUAUUAAAAUCCAGUCGAUUUGAUAUUGAGGAAAAUGGACAAUUAGUCAAGACACUGUAUAAGCCAGUAGAUAUUUGUCCUAAAUCACAAAGACUGCUAACUGAUUUCGAGGCAAUAUGCCAGUAGUGGCAAAUGAUAGCCUGGAAUAGUGUUUUGUGUGUGUGUAUAGAAUGGAAAUUCAAUGAGUGUCUUAACGGUAACCUCUCCCAUGUACAAGAGAUUCACCAUUUCGUAUAUUCUCUUAAAGGCGGGGAACAGAUUCACGAUACGUUUGUCUUCAUGCUUUCCUCCCACCCCUUUCCCACUGAGAGGUCAGAGCAGUGACUGGAGAGACAACAGACUCAUUCUCCCCCCGAAAACCUGUCAGGUACCCCGUUGGCCCAGGAUCUGCACAGCUGCUUUAGGAUGCUGAGAGGGAUGUUUCCGAGGUGACUGUUUCAGCUGCCAUCUGCUCUGAGCUGUGGAGGCCGAAAUACCUGUCAAUAAAGCGACUUUGGGACUUUCUAUUACAAUCUAUUUGAAGCUUGGGAUCUUCAAGCACUUUUGUCUUAAGUGAAAAUAUUUAAACUCCCACUCGUCCUAAGACCCCAUCACCCCCACAGCUGCUACCUGCAGGUGAGGCUGGCUGUCCGAGAGUGGUGUCUGUGGGCUGCGCAAAGGAGGCUCUUUUCGUUUUCCGAGACGUGGAGGCUGCGACGCUGAGGCCUGGCGCGGGCAGGUGUCCGCUGUUGCCCAGAGGAGCGGUGACGGCGGGAGGCACCUUUUCUGCAGGAGGAGGGCUCUGCAUACAGCUGGUACUGCGUAAAUGAUUGACGCAAGGAGGAGAAAUGGUUGACCAGCAGAGGGAUGCAGGGUGGACAAGACACAGCCUCUGCUGCCCAGGCCAGAGGCCGAGAUGUCUGCCCUGACUGUCUGAGCCACACCCCUGAGCCUGAGGGCCCGCUUCUCUGCUGGGACCCCUGCAACCACUGCCCCGGGUGUGCACAUCGGGCCCCGGGGGUUGGGGUGGGGUGAGGCCUGUGAAGGGAAGGCCUGAGGAGGCAGGAGCCAAAGUUCUCCACACACCCAGGCUCCCAGCCAGCUCCUCUCCUGGGAGGGGCCCUGGAACCAGGCUGGGAACACGGAGGAGGGGGGACACCCGGCCACACCAGGCGGUGAUCAAGCUGUCUGAGCGGACUGGGGAUUUGCUAUGGACUGAGUUGUGUCCCCCCAAAUCUGUUUGUCAAAGCCCUGAUCACCAAGGUGAUGGCACUUGGAAGUGAGGCCUUUUGAGUUAAUUAGGGUUGAUGAGGUCAUGAGGGUGGGGCCCCCACGAUGGGAUUAGUGCCCUCCUAGAAGAGGAGGACACCAGAGCUCACACUCUCUCCGAAACAUGAUGACACAGCGAGAAGGCAGCCGUCUGCAAACCAGAAACAGAGCCCUCACCAGAACCGACAGCCGUGCCUCCUCCCUGAUCUUGGACUUCCAGCCUUCAGAACAGUGAGAAAUAAAUGGCUGUGGCUUCUGUUACAGCAGCCCGAGCUGACCCACACAGGUUUCUGCUGGCUUAUUUCUGUCUCCGGCCGGGACGCUCUGAGCGAGUGCUCAGGGACGACAUAGCCACAACCCAGCACAGACAGAAAAAGCUGUCUGAGAGAGGAGGGAGCAGCAGAGGGAGCCUCAUGGGCAGAUGAGGCCACAGAGCCAUGGCAUGAAACUGUGGCCCUCCCACGGGAGCCGCGGUGCAGAGGAGCAGCCGGGCAGCAGGCGUUUGCUUUCACGAUUGGGAGUCCCCACAGAGGCCGGGAGGGAAGGGAGAGUUCACUCCAUUUCAUCCACCAACACCAAGACCCAGGGCUCAGGCAGCCUCGUCAGUCUGCCCAGUUUGAAAAUGCACCCUUCUCAAUCCCUGGGUGCUUCCAGAACCUUCCACGGGGACUAACACAAUGGUCAUUAAACAGCGGAAAGAAUAAAGUCUGCAAUGCAUUGGAAAAUUCUGGACAGAGAGAAAAUGGGGAUGGCAGUUCCCCACUCCAGGGGGGAUCUCUCCAAUUCUGCCAUGGCCACAUAAGCUGAGGGUACAGGGGGCGUCAGAGGCAAGGAGCAUGUGCCCCUACAUGUUCAGAUGGAGGAGAG